UCGAGGAUCUUCGGCAAUGGGCGCAAGCCUGACCGAGCGACGCCGCGUGUGCGAUGAAGGCCUUCGGGUUGUAAAGCACUUUCGGACGGAACGAAAUCGCGCGGGCGAAUACCCCGCGUGGAUGACGGUACCGUAAGAAGAAGCACCGGCUAACUACGUGCCAGCAGCCGCGGUAAUACGUAGGGUGCGAGCGUUAAUCGGAAUUACUGGGCGUAAAGUGUGCGCAGGCGGCCAACUAAGUCAGACGUGAAAUCCCUCGGCUUAACCGGGGAACUGCGUCUGAUACUGGAUGGCUUGAAUCCGGGAGAGGGAUGCGGAAUUCCAGGUGUAGCGGUGAAAUGCGUAGAUAUCUGGAGGAACACCGGUGGCGAAGGCGGCAUCCUGGACCGGCAUUGACGCUGAGGAGCGAAAGCCAGGGGAGCAAACGGGAUUAGAUACCCUGGUAGUCCCUGAGCGGGCUGGCAAGGCGCAU
rnacentral:rRNA from 1 species